rnacentral:rRNA from 1 species
CAGAGGUGGCAAGCGUUGUUCGGAAUUACUGGGCGUAAAGGGCGCGUAGGCGGUUCGAUAAGUCCCGUGUGAAAUCCCUCGGCUCAACUGAGGAAUGGCACGGGAAACUGACGGGCUUGAGUUCGGGAGAGGGAAGCGGAAUUCCGGGUGUAGCGGUGAAAUGCGUAGAUAUCCGGAGGAACACCGGUGGCGAAGGCGGCUUCCUGGACCGACACUGACGCUGAGGCGCGAAAGCUAGGGGAGCAAACGGGAUUAGAUACCCCGGUAGUCCUAGCUGUAAACGAUGAGUGCUGGGUGUAGGGGGUAUCUACCCCCCCUGUGCCGAAAGCUAACGCAUUAAGCACUCCGCCUGGGGAGUACGGUCGCAAGGCUG